rnacentral:lncRNA from 1 species
AGUCCCAGCCCCGCUGGUUUCCCUUCCUGGUGCCCAGCUUCCUCUGCACCCACCUGUCACCCACCCACUUGAGCCCCUCCUGUGGCCCCUCCUCUCCUGGGCCUGCCGGGGCCUCGCUCUUCCCGCCGCCGCCUGGAACACCCGAGGUCCAGCACUCAGCAUGAGUGGCCCCCUCCCCCUUCAGGCUCCAGCUCCCACGCCACCUCCUCCAGGAAGCCCUCCCGGGUCACCUGAUUGCCUCCCCUCAGGUCCCUCAUUCUCAGAUGUCUUGGUUUGCCUUCUUCCUCAUACUCGGCACCAGUCACUCCAGAUUGUCUUGUUCAUUGGUUUCUGUGGGUUUUUAAUCUCCUUUGGCUGGAACGUCCUAUCCGGGGAGCUUGUCUGUGUCUUUUGCUCGCUGUGUGUCCUGAACGUAGGGGAGCGCCCGGCAUAUAGUAGGGGCUCAGUAAACCUAAUCGGCCGCACAGACGGCUGGACGGAAGGAUGGAUGGCUGGAUGAAGGAGGAGGGCGGGGAGGAUGCUAGGAGUGGGUGGAAGAAGAGAACAGAGGAUGGCAGACAACGCUCAGGCAUCUUUCCUUCCCCCAUCCAGUCCUGCCCGUUGACAGAAACAGCGGGAGAUGCUGGGGCUGCGUGCUGCCUUGUGACAGGGUGGGUGAGAAGAUGGGUUAGAUGAAGCACCUCCAGGCAAAGUCACAAGUGUGUCACAAAUUCUAAAAGGUGGAGAAAAUCUCCGUGACAUCGGUGACAUCGAGGGCCCUCUCGGGACCUUGGAGUGGCUGUCACUGAUCAAGAAAGGGAACCAGGGAGUUCCCACUGUGGUGGGGCAGGUUAAGGAUUCGGCAUCGUCUCUGUGGCUGUGCGGGUUUGAUGCCUGGCCCGGGAACUUCCACAUGCUGUGGACCCAACGAAAAUACAAAUUUUAAACAUUUAAAAAGAGAAAGGUAACAGUCCUGAGGCCUCCCAGCCAGGGGCUGGGGACAGAGGUGCCCAGCGCCCAGCACCAGUCUGGGCCCACCUGGCAUCAUCCAGAGCUGUGUGGUUGGGCAGAACUCCAGGGAGCUGCCCAGCUCCUACCAGGCUGCAGGUUGGGACCUCGAUGCGGGGAGCAAGCGUAUUUGCAUCCGAUUUGCAUGCAGGUGGGGCAGGCCUUGCCCUUCAGAGCUCCUCAGGUGGUCCUGUCACUGCUUUUCCUCCUGCACCUCACCCACCCUUUGUCCCUGUCCCCGUCACCCUAGAACGGGGAGGAGCCCUCGUUGUGAAGAACCUGGCUAGUGUCUGGGAGGACGUGGGUUCGAUCCCUGGCCUCACUCAGUGGGUUAAGGAUCUGGCGUUGCCUUGAGCUGCAGCAUAGGUCGCGGAUGCAGCUCGGAUCCCGCAUUGCCGUGGUUGUGGCGUAGGCGGGCAGCUGCAGCUCUGAUUCGAUCCCUAGCCUAGGGUCGGAGCCCCUCCAGCUGAAGCCCCCUACCUGUCCUAAGCCACUGAAUUGGCACCAAAGCCCGGGGAGGAGGUGUGGCUGUUGCCCCAUUUCACGGAGGAGCAAACCGAGCCCCAGAGAAGGACAUCACUUAGCAGCAGCCACGUGGGGGGCGGGGUAGGCCCGAGCUUAGCGCUUUGUGUGGCUCGUGGCGCUAAAGGGUCACCAAGACCCCCAGAGGGAGUUGGGCUCUUUGCCCGUUUCACCUGGGAGGCAGCGGAGGCCUGAGGAGGCCUGAGGAGGGACAGAGAGAACAGGCCUCUCUUGGGGACAAGCGGCCGUGCUUGGCAACAAGCUCCGAUCCCGUUCUCCCAUCAGGCUGCCGCGUCCAAGUUAUUUGAUGUAUUUCCGUGUCCCCAGGCCCCAGACCAUUGCCGGGCGUAGUAAGUGCUCAAUAAAGCCUGAACGCCUGUCGCUUUGUGACACGGCAGGCAGGGCUCUGCCAGCGCAGGCAGGGGGGACACCUUCACAUGACCGAAAGGGGGGGUGCCCAGCAGGAGAGAAGGACAGGGCUCUUUACAGCAGCGUCGGGGUCAGAUUCCCGCCGAGUGGGGGACCAGAGCCUCCUUUGAGCCCCGAUUCCGAGAGCCUGCUUUGUGUCCUGCUGUUUAACAGUGUGAUAGGUGAGGGUCAAGCUGUGGUCCCAUAACUUGCUGGAAGACAUUUCGGAACAAUAAAGGUGUCUGGCUUUAUAUCUGCUCGUAUUUUAUCCUUGCUUGAGCCUCUCCUGCUUGCUUGCUUUGGAUUUACCGUGAGAAUAUUUUAAAACGGCUCAAGCUUGGCCGCCAGCGCUCCCGCCGUGCCUGUCCCCGCCGCCCGCCCCCCCGGGGAGCCUGGCCCCCGGCCGGCCGAGCCCCCGCACUGGCCUCCGGCUGCUGAAAUAUUUACCUGCAGGCUCCUCUGACAGCUGGAGCCGCCCCCUGAAGCAAAGGUUAUGGGACCGCGAACGCUAUGACAUGACAUUCUGUGUCUGCGCUCCUGGGAUGCGCGAUGCUGGCAGCAUGGCAAGGGCCGGGCAGAGGGCGGGCGCUGUAGGAAUUGAUAGCAGCCGCUCUGUCACUGUGGUGCCCCGGGAGUGCACAGAACAAGGGCACCAGCCUCCCCAGCUGGGGCUGCUUCAAGGGUUUGGGGCUGUCAGCCCAUUGCGUUCUGGCGGGGCAGGGACCGAGCCAGACCAACCCGCAGCCGCUGGCGCUGCCCAGGGCAUAGGGCAUCCUGGGCCCGCGCUGAACGCCUGGGGUGUCUGGCUGCGCCGCACGCACGGCCGCCCUGGGAGGCUGCUGCUUUGAUCCCUUUUGUUGUUGAAGGGGCCGAGGCACAGAGACAGAGGGACACGCUGUCUCCCUGUCUCGGGGUGGCUGUAGCAGAGGGCCACAGCCUGGGCAGCUUCAAGCAGCAGGAGUGUACCCUCCUGCAGUCCUGGAGGCCAAGAUCAAGGGGCCGGCAGGGCUGUGAUCCCCGAAGAAGGCUCUCGGGGAGCGUCCCUCCUUGUCUCUUCUGGCUCCUGGCGGUUCCGGCUGUCCUUGGCGCCACUUGGCUCGUGGCCGCCUCCUCCAGCUUCUGGCUCUGCUGUCACAUGACCGCCCUCCCUGUGUGUGUGUGUGUGUGUCCAGGCUCCCCUCUUCUUUUCCGGACUCCAGACCUUGGCUGAGGGUCCACGCUGUUCCACGACGCCUCGUUUUAACAUCUGCAAAGGUCCGCCUGCCAUGAGGGAUCACCCUCGCAGGUUCCCGGUGGAUGGGAAUUUGGGGGGACACCAUUCACCCCAGUUCAUGUGCCUGGGGUGUCUCCAUCACCUGUUCGGCACCCACUGGCCGAACUCCCAGAGCCCCGUGAUUCAGAGUCUCAGCUGCCGCCCCAGGCAGGAGGGUGACAUCCCACCAAGAAAGAAAGGCAUUCCUGAUCGAGUCUGCAACCCCUGUCCUUCCCAGGACCCCUCCUCUCCCAGGGUCCCCAGCAGGACCGCUCCCUGUGGCCCCUCGUUGCCCCCCACCCCAUCUCACCACUCCACGUCCGCCCUUCCCAAAGCCGCUCACGGACAGACCCCUGGCCCACAAAUCCUUGUCCCUGGGCUCUGCUUCUGGGAGAACACAAAUGAAGACAGUAAAAAUAACAGACCAGCCAAUGCACACAUCACUGACUCUGUCUGAAGCACCUGGCGCUCUUGAUGCCCACGGCCGCCCCGGGGGCAGGGCCGCCAGAUUUAGAAAGGAAAACGAAACAGGACACUCGGUUAAAUUUCAACUUCAGAUAAACAACAAAUACCUUUUUGUACAAGUGUAUCUCCCAUGUCAGGGUGCCCGUGUGGCUCUGCAGCUUAAGGAUCUGGCCUUGUCACUGCCUGGGCUCAGGUCAUUGCUGUGGCACAGGUUCAAUUCCUUGCUCAGGAACUUCCCCAUGCCAUGGGCGUGGCCAAAAAAAAAGUGUCCCGUGUCGUCUUUGGGAUAUGCUUAUGCUCAAAAAUGUAUUCAUUGCUUAGGGCUGGGGGGCGAAAUGGAAGUGACUGCUAACGGGUCCGGGGUUUCUUUCUGGAGUUGUGAAGAUAUUCUAAAUGGAUUUUGGCGACAGUGGCCCAGCUCUGUGCAUACACUAGAAACUAGUGUCUCGGGCAUGGUACGUGAAUGAUGCCUUAAGCCGUUAUAUUUGAAAUCUUUUUCCUGGAAUUCCCAUCGUGGCUCAGAGGAAACGGAUCUGACGGGUAUCCAUGAGGACGCAGGUUCGAUCCCUGGCUUCGCUUAGUGGGUUAAGGAUCUGGCAUUGCCAUGAGCUGUGGUGUAGGUCGCAGACGUGGCUCGGAUCUGGUGUUGCUGUGGCUGUGGUGUCGGCCAGUGACUACAGCUCCAAUUGGACCUCCAUAUGCCACAGGUGUGGCCCUAAAUAG